rnacentral:rRNA from 1 species
GAUGAACGCUGACAGAAUGCUUAACACAUGCAAGUCUACUUGAACUUCGGUUUGGGUGGCGGACGGGUGAGUAACGCGUAAAGAACUUGCCUCACAGUUAGGGACAACAUUUGGAAACGAAUGCUAAUACCUGAUAUUAUGAUUUUAGGGCAUCCUAGGAUUAUGAAAGCUAUAUGUGCUGUGAGAGAGCUUUGCGUCCCAUUAGCUAGUUGGAGAGGUAACGGCUCACCAAGGCGAUGAUGGGUAGCCGGCCUGAGAGGGUGAACGGCCACAAGGGGACUGAGACACGGCCCUUACUCCUACGGGAGGCAGCAGCGGGGAAUAUUGGACAAUGGACCAAAAGUCUGAUCCAGCAAUUCUGUGUGCACGAUGACGUUUUUCGGAAUGUAAAGUGCUUUCAGUUGGGAAGAAAAAAAUGACGGUACCAACAGAAGAAGUGACGGCUAAAUACGUG